rnacentral:rRNA from 1 species
UGGGGAAUCUUGCGCAAUGCGCGAAAGCGUGACGCAGCAACGCCGCGUGCGGGAAGACGGCCUUCGGGUUGUAAACCGCUUUCAGUUGGGACGAAGCCUGUCUGGUGAAUAGCCAGUGCGGGUGACGGUACCUUCAGAAGAAGCUCCGGCUAACUACGUGCCAGCAGCCGCGGUAAUACGUAGGGCGCGAGCGUUGUCCGGAUUUAUUGGGCGUAAAGAGCUCGUAGGCGGCUUGUCGCGUCGUCCGUGAAAACCCGUGGCUCAACUGCGGGCUUGCGGUCGAUACGGGCAGGCUGGAGUUCGGUAGGGGAGACUGGAAUUCCUGGUGUAGCGGUGAAAUGCGCAGAUAUCAGGAGGAACACCGAUGGCGAAGGCAGGUCUCUGGGCCACUACUGACGCUGAGAAGCGAAAGCAUGGGGAGCGAAC